rnacentral:rRNA from 1 species
UUUUGUAUAAUGGGUCAGCGACUUAUAUUCUGUAGCAAGGUUAACCGAAUAGGGGAGCCGAAGGGAAACCGAGUCUUAACUGGGCGUUAAGUUGCAGGGUAUAGACCCGAAACCCGGUGAUCUAGCCAUGGGCAGGUUGAAGGUUGGGUAACACUAACUGGAGGACCGAACCGACUAAUGUUGAAAAAUUAGCGGAUGACUUGUGGCUGGGGGUGAAAGGCCAAUCAAACCGGGAGAUAGCUGGUUCUCCCCGAAAGCUAUUUAGGUAGCGCCUCGUGAAUUCAUCUUCGGGGGUAGAGCACUGUUUCGGCUAGGGGGUCAUCCCGACUUACCAACCCGAUGCAAACUGCGAAUACCGAAGAAUGUUAUCACGGGAGACACACGGCGGGUGCUAACGUCCGUCGUGAAGAGGGAAACAACCCAGACCGCCAGCUAAGGUCCCAAAGUCAUGGUUAAGUGGGAAACGAUGUGGGAAGGCUCAGACAGCCAGGAUGUUGGCUUAGAAGCAGCCAUCAUUUAAAGAAAGCGUAAUAGCUCACUGGUCGAGUCGGCCUGCGCGGAAGAUGUAACGGGGCUAAACCAUGCACCGAAGCUGCGGCAGCGACACUAUGUGUUGUUGGGUAGGGGAGCGUUCUGUAAGCCUGUGAAGGUGUGCUGUGAGGCAUGCUGGAGGUAUCAGAAGUGCGAAUGCUGACAUAAGUAACGAUAAAGCGGGUGAAAAGCCCGCUCGCCGGAAGACCAAGGGUUCCUGUCCAACGUUAAUCGGGGCAGGGUGAGUCGACCCCUAAGGCGAGGCCGAAAGGCGUAGUCGAUGGGAAACAGGUUAAUAUUCCUGUACUUGGUGUUACUGCGAAGGGGGGACGGAGAAGGCUAUGUUGGCCGGGCGACGGUUGUCCCGGUUUAAGCGUGUAGGUGUGUGUUCCAGGUAAAUCCGGUUCACUUUAACACUGAGGCGUGAUGA